CUCCUGUGAUGAUUUGCCAUGCUAAUAUUGAGACACCAGGUAGGGGGUGUUGUUGAAAUUCUUCUCUUCUUUUCUGAGGGGC
ensembl:snoRNA SNORD9 small nucleolar RNA, C/D box 9